AACGAACGCUGGCGGCAGGCUUAACACAUGCAAGUCGAGCGCCCCGCAAGGGGAGCGGCAGACGGGUGAGUAACGCGUGGGAAUCUACCCAUCUCUACGGAAUAACGCAUGGAAACGUGUGCUAAUACCGUAUACGUCCUUCGGGAGAAAGGUUUAUCGGAGAUGGAUGAGCCCGCGUUGGAUUAACUAGUUGGUGGGGUAAAGGCCUACCAAGGCGACGAUACAUAGCUGGUCUGAGAGGAUGAUCAGCCACACUGGGACUGGGACAAGGCCCGGACUCCUACGGGAAGCAGCAGUGGGGAAUAAUGGACAAUCGGCGCAAGGCUGAUCCAGCCAUGCCGCGUGAGUGGUGAAGGCCCUAGGAUUGUAAAGCUCUUUCACCGGUGAAGAUAAUGGCGGUAACCGGAGAAGAAGCCCCGGCUAACUUCGUGCCAGACGCCGCAGUAAUAC
rnacentral:rRNA from 1 species